rnacentral:rRNA from 1 species
UGGGGAAUAUUGCACAAUGGGCGCAAGCCUGAUGCAGCCAUGCCGCGUGUAUGAAGAAGGCCUUCGGGUUGUAAAGUACUUUCAGCGGGGAGGAAGGGAGUAAAGUUAAUACCUUUGCUCAUUGACGUUACCCGCAGAAGAAGCACCGGCUAACUCCGUGCCAGCAGCCGCGGUAAUACGGAGGGUGCAAGCGUUCAUCGGAAUUACUGGGCGUAAAGCGCACGCAGGCGGUUUGUUAAGUCAGAUGUGAAAUCCCCGGGCUCAACCUGGGAACUGCAUCUGAUACUGGCAAGCUUGAGUCUCGUAGAGGGGGGUAGAAUUCCAGGUGUAGCGGUGAAAUGCGUAGAGAUCUGGAGGAAUACCGGUGGCGAAGGCGGCCCCCUGGACGAAGACUGACGCUCAGGUGCGAAAGCGUGGGGAGCAAACAGG